UACGUAGGGCGCGAGCGUUGUCCGGAAUUAUUGGGCGUAAAGAGCUCGUAGGCGGCCUGUUGCGUCCGCUGUGAAAUCCCAGGGCUCAACCCUGGGCGUGCAGUGGAUACGGGCAGGCUGGAGGCAGGCAGGGGAAAGCGGAAUUCCACGUGUAGCGGUGAAAUGCGUAGAGAUGUGGAGGAACACCAGUGGCGAAGGCGGCUUUCUGGUCUGUAACUGACGCUGAGGCGCGAAAGCGUGGGGAGCAAACAGG
rnacentral:rRNA from 1 species